UAGGCCAUACUACAUUGAAAACACCGGUUUUCGUCCGAUCACCGAAGUUAAGCAAUGUCGGGCAGUACUUGGGAGGGUGAUCACCUGGGAACACCAGGUGAUGAAGGCU
rnacentral:rRNA from 1 species